UACGAAGGGGGCUAGCGUUGCUCGGAAUUACUGGGCGUAAAGGGCGCGUAGGCGGAUAUUUAAGUCGGGGGUGAAAGCCCAGGGCUCAACCCUGGAACAGCCUUCGAUACUGGAUAUCUUGAGUACGGGAGAGGUGUGUGGAACUCCGAGUGUAGAGGUGAAAUUCGUAGAUAUUCGGAAGAACACCAGUGGCGAAGGCGACACACUGGCCCGUUACUGACGCUGAUGCGCGAAAGCGUGGGGAGCGAACGGG
rnacentral:rRNA from 1 species